UCGUGAUCAGUAGUGGGAUUCUCUAACUCCUUAACGACGAAUAUCGCUAUUGUUAACUAUCGAUAUCGAUGAUUAUCGCAAAAGGUUAUUCUGUAACUAGGAGAUAUCGACAAUUCUCGAUAACUUGAAUCGUUAAAUUCCGAUAGUUAUCGAAGCCGCGUCGAUACGUUUGCGAUCGUUACCGGAGGUCUCGUUAAGCUAUUAACAAUAAUCGGUGUGAGUCGAUAGUGCGUUAGUGUAUGAAAUGUAUACGUAUGUGUGUAAUACGUGUUCCCGCAACCAUGAUUUAGAGGUUAAGUUGGUGUCUGAUUGUGAAUAUAUCGAGUGGCCUUCUCAGUUUUUGACAUCUUUUAAUUCGGUGACUUUGAUUCUUUUAAGAAUUGGAAAUCCAUAGGGCAGCGUAAGAAGUUGAAAUUCUAUUAGGAAUUUUAAUUUAUUUAGAACAACCAAAGAUGGCGCUUGGUUAUCUUGCUGCAGACUUACAAUUACUAGAAGAACGUGUCCAACGUUUGGAACGAAGGGUACAACGACAACUAUUACGAACUUUGUUCGAAAAUCCGUUCGAUUUGACGAACAAUGAAUUUAAAGAGCUGUACAAAAAUCUAACAUUUUUGUUAAUUGAACUUGCGAUGCCCUUGUAGUUCUUGUUUUUUUGCUGUAAAAUAAAGGUCAUCAAAAAUUUUUUAUAUUUUA